AGAGUUUGAUCCUGGCUCAGAAUCAACGCUGGCGGCGCGCUUAACACAUGCAAGUCGCACGAGAAAGGGAGCAAUCCUAAGUAAAGUGGCGUACGGGUGAGUAACACGUGGAUCAUCUACCUUUUAGUGGGGAAUACCUCCUGGAAACGGGAGACAAUACCGCAUAAGCUCGAGAGAGGAAAGCCGAAAGGCGCUGAAAGAGGAGUCCGCGGCUGAUUAGCUAGUUGGCGGGGUAAUGGCCCACCAAGGCGAAGAUCGGUAGCCGGCCUGAGAGGGCACACGGCCACACUGGCACUGAAACACGGGCCAGACUCCUACGGGAGGCAGCAGUGGGGAAUCUUGCACAAUGGAGGAAACUCUGAUGCAGCGACGCCGCGUGAGCGAUGAAGCCCUUCGGGGUGUAAAGCUCUUUCGACGGGAACGAUAAUGACGGUACCCGAAGAAGAAGCUGCGGCUAACUACGUGCCAGCAGCCGCGGUAAUACGUAGGCAGCGAGCGUUGUUCGGAAUUACUGGGCGUAAAGAGUGUGUAGGUGGUGCUCUAAGUUUGGUGUGAAAUCUCCCGGCUUAACUGGGAGGGUGCGCCGAAAACUGGUGUGCUUGAGUAUAG
rnacentral:rRNA from 1 species